rnacentral:rRNA from 1 species
AUGAACGCUGGCGGCGUGCCUAAUACCUGCAAGUCGAGCGAACAGACGAGGAGCUUGCUCCUCUGACGUUAGCGGCGGACGGGUGAGUAACACGUGGAUAACCUACCUAUAAGACUGGGAUAACUUCGGGAAACCGGAGCUAAUACCGGAUAAUAUAUUGAACCGCAUGGUUCAAUAGUGAAAAACGGUUUUGCUGUCACUUAUAGAUGGAUCCGCGCCGCAUUAGCUAGUUGGUAAGGUAACGGCUUACCAAGGCAACGAUGCGUAGCCGACCUGAGAGGGUGAUCGGCCACACUGGAACUGAGACACGGUCCAGACUCCUACGGGAGGCAGCAGUAGGGAAUCUUCCGCAAUGGGCGAAAGCCUGACGGAGCAACGCCGCGUGAGUGAUGAAGGUCUUCGGAUCGUAAAACUCUGUUAUUAGGGAAGAACAAAUGAGUAAGUAACUAUGCACGUCUUGACGGUACCUAAUCAGAAAGCCACGGCUAACUACGUG